rnacentral:rRNA from 1 species
UUUUCUUCGGAGAGUUUGAUCCUGGCUCAGGACGAACGCUGGCGGCGUGCCUAAUACAUGCAAGUCGAGCGGACCUCUUCGGAGGCAGGACGAACGCUGGCGGCGUGCCUAAUACAUGCAAGUCGAGCGGACCUCUUCGGAG